rnacentral:rRNA from 1 species
UACGUAGGGGGCAAGCGUUGUCCGGAUUCAUUGGGCGUAAAGAGCGUGUAGGCGGCCUGAAAGGUCAGCUGUGAAAACUCGAGGCUCAACCUCGAGACGUCGGUUGAAACCGUAUGGCUAGAGUCCGGAAGAGGAGAGUGGAAUUCCCGGUGUAGCGGUGAAAUGCGCAGAUAUCGGGAAGAACACCCAUGGCGAAGGCAGCUCUCUGGGACGGUACUGACGCUGAGACGCGAAAGCGUGGGGAGCAAACAGG